UGAUCUCCAGUGUAUGCACACCAGUCCAAACCAUGGUUACUCCAUGUUGUGGUGCAGAUCUGCAAAGAGAACACAAUGGUCCCGGGAAUACAGAACCAAACUGAAAUUCCUGGGUCACUGGCACCUACAGUCUUGUUCCUAAAGACACCAUAUCGGAUAAGAUCCAGGCACCUGGCUGAUCCUUGCUCUGGAAGAAACCAGGCCUUUAAAAAGGCACUCACA